rnacentral:rRNA from 1 species
GACGAACCGUCCGAACGUUAUUCGGAAUUACUGGGCUUAAAGGGUGCGUAGGCGGCGCGGAAAGUCGGGUGUGAAAUCCCUCGGCUCAACCGAGGACGUGCAUCCGAAACUACAGUGCUCGAGUAUGGAAGAGGGUCGCGGAAUUCCCGGUGUAGAGGUGAAAUUCGUAGAUAUCGGGAGGAACACCAGUGGCGAAGGCGGCGACCUGGGCCAAUACUGACGCUGAGGUGCGAAAGCCAGGGGAGCAAACGGG